ensembl:processed_transcript
AGGAGAUUCUCUCCCUCUGCCCUAUAAGGUGUUUUCCCAUGAUUCUUUCUUUCUCUUCGCCAUCUUUCCCCCGGCAGGCCGACAUCUAUCACCAUGAAGGUCGAGCUGUGCAGUUUCAGCGGGUACAAGAUCUACCCGGGACACGGGCGGCGCUACGCCAGGACCGACGGGAAGGUUUUCCAGUUUCUUAAUGCAAAAUGUGAGUCCGCAUUCCUUUCCAAAAGGAAUCCUCGGCAGAUAAACUGGACUGUCCUCUACAGAAGAAAACACAAGAAAGGGCAGUCGGAAGAAAUUCAAAAGAAAAGAACCCGCCGUGCAGUCAAAUUCCAACGAGCCAUCACUGGUGCAUCUCUUGCUGAUAUAAUGGCCAAGAGGAAUCAGAAACCAGAGGUUAGGAAAGCCCAGCGAGAGCAGGCUAUCAGGGCUGCCAAGGAAGCAAAAAAGGCUAAGCAGGCAUCAAAGAAGACAGCAAUGGCUGCUGCCAAGGUAUAUUAAAGCAAGUUAAAGAUUACAUAAAACAGUGUAGCAAAUGUCAGGAGAAACUCGACCGCUCCCGUCCAAUAUCGGAUGCUUCGGAAAUGUUGGAAGAGUUGGGGUUGGAUCUUGACUCCGG